GACAGUGAACGAAAAGUACAUUGGAUUGCCUGGCAGAAAAUGUGCACCUCUAAACGAGAUGGGGGGCUGGGUUUCCGAGAUCUUGAAGCCUUUAACCAGGCCCUUCUUGCAAAACAAGCUUGGCGGAUCUUGGAGUGUCCAGAGUCUUUGUGUGCUCGGGUCCUCAGGGCACGCUAUUUCAAAGAAGAUUCCAUUAUGACCACUAGAUGUCCAUCAACCGCCUCAUACACUUUCAAAAGUAUCUUACAUGACCGAGACCUCCCGAGGGAAGGACUGGUGUGGAGAAUUGGUGAUGGAUCAAGAGUAAAUAUACACCAUGCAAAUUGGAUACCAAGGAUUGGUUCAAUGAAACCUUUGGGACAAAUUUUCAUUCCGGGUGUGAUGAGGGUGGCUGACCUUCUAACUCCGAAUGCAAGCAUAUAG
rnacentral:rRNA from 1 species